rnacentral:rRNA from 1 species
AACGGUAACAGGAAAUAGCUUGCUAUUUUGCUGACGAGUGGCGCACGGGUGCGUAACGCGUAUACAAUCUACCUUUUGCUGAGGGAUAGCCCAGAGAAAUUUGGAUUAAUACCUCAUGGUAUUAUUGAUAGGCGUCUAUUAAUAAUUAAAGGUUACGGCAAAAGAUGAGUAUGCGUCCCAUUAGCUAGUUGGUGAAGUAACGGUUCACCAAGGCAACGAUGGGUAGGGGCCCCUGAGAGGGAGAUCCCCCACACUGGUACUGAGACACGGACCAGACUCC